rnacentral:rRNA from 1 species
UUAGGAAUUUUGGGCAAUGGGGAAAACCUGACCCAGCAACGCCGGGUGGGUGAUGAAGGGCUUCGGGUCGGAAAGCCCUUUUGGAGGGGGAGAUAGUGGAGGGACCCUGGGAAUAAGCCUCGGCUAAAUAAGUGCCAGGAGGCGCGGUAAAACGGAGGAGGCGAGCGGUGGUCGGAUUUACUGGGCGUAAAGAGCGCGUAGGCGGCUUCACAAGUCAGGUGUGAAAUCUCCCGGCUUAACUGGGAGGGGUCAUUUGAAACUGUGGGGCUAGAGUGCAGUAGAGGGAGACAGAAUUCCCGGUGUAGUGGUGAAAUGCGUAGAUAUCGGGAGGAAUACCAGUGGCGAAGGCGGUCUCCUGGGCUGUUACUGACGCUGAGGUGCGAAAGCGUGGGGAGCGAACUG